UUUUAUUUUCGACCGGAUGAAAGGAAUUUCGUGGGCCUUGCCCGAGGGGCUUGGAACACCACAUCAUCACCGGUAUUGCUUGAGGCAUAUAAGAGAUAAUUUAAAAAAACACGAAGAGCUCAACUUACAAAAUCUAUUGUGGCAAACCAGGUGUGCAGUCGACACACUGAUAUAUGAGCAUUGUAGGGAGAAAAUUAAGUCUCUAUCAGUUAAAGCACAUAAUUGGAUUGAACAAAACUUAAAACCACAAUACGAAAAUCGAUGGGCAUUAUGUAAGGAUGGUGGAGUGCGCUAUUAUAUGAUGAUAACUAAUUGUUCUGAAAGUUUCAAUGUCGUACUCAAGGGUGUCCGAGCUAUGCCAAUUCAAGCCUUGGUUGCAAGAACGUUAUAUAGAUUAAACACAUACUUUAAUAAGAGACACGGUGAUAGUGUAAGUUGGACGACGAGUUACACUCCAAAAAAUGAGAGUAUUCUGCAGAAAAGGAUUGUGGCUGUAAAAUCAUGUAAAACUACUCCAUUUAACGGCAAUUAAUAGGAGGUUAAAGAUUGUGAAGGUACUUACACCGUUUAUCUCUUUGGCCGGGAGUGCAGUUAUACUUGUAAUAUACCACAAUUAUAAAAAUUACAAUGUGAACAUCUUUUAUACUAACAAAUUAUUUUUCAUUGUUGUGCAGAGAGGACCAUGUUAGUCAUGAUUGAUCAUAGCCUCGGACAUACGAGUUGGCCACUUGAAGAUGAGCGUAUUAUUGCUUUGGUACCCUAAGCAGGUCUUCUCACAUGCUCGAGGCUAUGGUGGAUGAAACUCGAUUGGACAUUACUUAAUGCAUUGAUGGAUAGAUGGAGGCCAAAGACUAACACGUUUCAUCUACAUGUCGGCGAGUUGACUAUUACUCUCCAAGACAUAGCAAUAACCCUUGAUCUCUGCAUUUAUGGUCCUUGUGUUACAAGGACAGAUAGACAUGUGCAGUGUUGACUUUGUGAUGAGUUGUUAGGAGUAUCUCCGGAGUCAUUGCCUGGAGUAUAUUAGAUUGAAGUGGCUCUGAGAAAAUUUCACACACCCGUUGCCAAAAGAUGCAUCCCAACUCGUGAUCCAACAACAUACUCGUGCAUAUAUUUGCACAUAAUCGGGACACUUCUAUUCCCUGAUUCAAGUAAAGAUAAAGUACAUUUAAGGUAAUAUAAUUAUUCCUAAUAUUUAACUAUUUGUCAUUUUUGCUAGAUUAUUACUCAUUAUUCAUUAAAUACGACUAAAUGCGUUUUUAUUGUGAUAGGUGGCUACCACUUCUCCGAGACUACGACAUGUGCGGGAUAUUAUCAUGGAGUAGUGUUGUUUUAGCAUACCUAUAUAGAAAAUAUUGAAAGUUUCUUUUAAGCACAAUAAAGAGCUCAAGAGGUGUUUGACAUUAUUACAAGUUCGCGCAUGGGAAAGAUUGGUUUUGAAACCAAGAUUAUGCAAAACGCGAGUUUUAGAUAGAUUCCACUAGGUUGCAGAUGGAAUGUCCAAAAAUGAUACGAUGAGGCUCCGGCAAGACAAUCAGAUUUUUACAGAGAGCUUGAUCGGAUAAAAAAUUUUCAGCCAUACGACUUGCAUGGAGGGGCACGGUAUAUGAAGAGCUAGAGUUCCUUUCAUUUGCUUUGAAAUUAUGGAGAUGCAUGUGCCGGAUGUGCCGGAUCGCGUGCUUAGGCAGUUUGGUUUCGCGCAGCAUGCUCCACAAGAAGUAGAAAGAAUAGAGAGAAAAACGUCCAAGGGUAGGCAUCAGAUUGAAUGAGAACUUGUAUAUAAAGACUACAUUCAUAGAUGGAAUGAUUGACAUUUGAGUAUC